CCUACGGGCGACAGCAGUCGAGAAUCAUUCACAAUGGGGGAAACCCUGAUGGUGCGACGCCGCGUGGGGGAAUGAAGGUCUUCGGCUUUUAAACCCCUGUCAUGUGGGAGCAAAUUAAAAAGAUAGUACCACACGAGGAAGAGACGGCUAACUCUGUGCCAGCAGCCGCGGUAAUACAGAGGUCUCAAGCGUUGUUCGGAAUCACUGGGCGUAACGCGUGCGUAGGCUGUUUCGUAAGUCGUGUGUGAAAGGCGCGGGCUCAAGCCGCGGACGGCACAUGAUACUGCGAGACUAGAGUAAUGGAGGGGGAACCGGAAUGCUCGGUGUAGCAGUGAAAUGCGUAGAUAUCGAGAGGAACACUCGUGGCGAAGGCGGGUUCCUGGACAUUAACUGACGCUGAGGCACGAAGGCCAGGGGAGCGAAAGGGAUUAGAUACCCCAGUAGUC
rnacentral:rRNA from 1 species